CCAGAUCCUGCGCGGGCUCAAGUACAUCCACUCGGCCAACGUGAUCCACCGCGACCUGAAGCCCAGCAACCUGCUGCUGAACGCCAACUGCGACCUCAAGAUCUGCGACUUCGGGCUGGCCCGGCCGUCCUCCGAGAGCGACAUGAUGACGGAGUACGUGGUGACGCGGUGGUACCGCGCCCCCGAGCUCCUGCUCAACUCCACUGACUACUCGGCCGCCAUCGACGUCUGGUCCGUCGGCUGCAUCUUCAUGGAGCUCAUCAACCGCCAGCCCCUCUUCCCCGGCCGCGACCACAUGCACCAGAUGCGCCUCAUCACCGAGGUAACUUUCGGCGUCUCGGGUUGCACGAUGGCAUUUCAGUAUUUCACUCGUGUAUCUCUGACGCCUUCGACCUAUCAUCAUCAUCAUCGGCAGGUGAUCGGGACGCCGACGGAUGAGGAGCUCGGGUUCAUCCGGAACGAGGACGCGCGCAAGUACAUGCGGCACCUGCCGCAGUUCCCGCGGCGGCCGUUCGCGAGCCUGUUCCCGAGGGUGCAGCCCGUGGCGCUGGACCUCAUCGAGCGGAUGCUCACCUUCAACCCGCUGCAGAGGAUCACAGGUCAGCCACACCGGCUCGCCGCCGCGGUUUUGAUUUGCUUUUCUUUUAUCCUCGUGCAACUCGUGCGGCUGCUGAAUCUUUGGGUAUACUCCACGUGCGGUUUUCUAUUCUUGCGUGUUGACCGGUGGUAGAAUCACUGUUCACUACCAUAUUGACGUCGGUGGUUAGUAGUACGUGAGGGCCACUGGCUACCCUUGUGUAUAGGCAAGGAAACACUGGCACAUUUCCGGGUUGGCAUCAAGUAGACAUGGUACUGGCGGCCUCCGGUCAAAGAAAGAGGCGUGCCCUGAGCUAGGUCUGUCCGUCCAAUUUUGAGUAGCUUGACUGUUCUGGUCAGGUUCAAAUGCAAUCUUCUUUGUCCAAAGUAGAAACAUUUAAUAAUCCGCAGGGUUUUGUCAGGGUUUCCGGUCAGGGUUGGGUAGGUUUCUUCGUUGAAUUGAGACCAUAACAGUCUAACGGAAAAGGGCGGCGUCACUUCUGUCAUUCUGUCAUGAAACAUUUAAGCGCUAUACCCUUGUAUUUAAGGUCCACUGCUAGUUCGCUACUUGCUAGCAUGAAUCUCACUUUUGUUCAGUUUGUUGCCUACCGUUCAACUGAUAGAACAAUAUCCCAGUGGGCUUGCAAAUUUGCAGCUAAAAAGCUGAUCCACAGCAAGUUAGUACAAGACAAAAGAGAGUAGUAGAAAUUAUUAUUUUUUUAAAAACAAAUCAAGCAGGAGAAACGCCGAUUAUAUUAAAAAGAAGAAUAAACUCAGACCAGGCAAAAAACGAAAAAACAACAAAAAAAAACAACGAAUACCGGCCAGUUGGAUUGGACAUCAAUCCGCGUUGUACCACGCCAACGUACUACUGAAAACACAACAUCGGCCGGUUGGAUUGGGGCAUCAACCGGACCUCUCUCAACUCUGCCUGGUCGAAUUAGGAUAUCGACACAAGCCUCAACAAAAGACUCUGCUCGAUCGGAUUGGUACAUCGAUCCGGGCCUCAACUCAAACUCACGCGCAGACAACAUGGUUGGUCAAAAGGGGGCAGCGGCACCACCAUGACACUCCACAACACCGGUGCUCGUGCACCAACAGCAACACCAUCACCAGGGCACAAGACUGAUAGAGGAUAACCCGUCAUUACCGACAAUGUCCCACAUCAGGCCAGCCACUGCUAUGCAGGGCUAGCCGCCGUGGUUCGCUGCAGGCCGUGUAGCUAUCGAGCCAUCAGAUCCGCUUGCGCUUCCAAACGAAGUUGUCCUACAUCGGACUAAACUCACCAAGCAAGGCUAGCCGCUGUAGAAUGCUGCAAGCCGUCGAACCAAUACAGGAGCAGCUGUCUCCGGACAUCAACUGCCAACCACGUCCCCCGAGAUCUGGUUGUACACUGUGGCACCAAGCAGCCUCGCCUCAUCGAGGAAAGCAGGGUGCUGGCAGUGCAUCUGGCAGCCAUCAGAGGAUCACCUCCACGCAGGUCUCUUUAGUGAAGCAGAUCUGUCAGCCACCCCGUACCACGCCAGCCACAUGCCAAAUUCGUGGUCACAACUGGCGCACGGCUCCUCCCUACCGUCGCCCUCAUGCCAAGCAGAAGUCUUGCCCUCUAGACACCGUUUCAAACAUCUACUUCCAGUCGCCUUCCGCCACCGCGGGCAUCCGCACCUUAAGUCAUUGACUAGGCCUCCACCCAUUCCACCACGAGGCCCAAAUCCACCAUGGUCGGAGCUUCGCAUCGACACAGCCGCCGCCAUGCGUGAUCGCUCGCCGCCAAACAAACAGGGAAGCUAUCGGGGCGCUGCCCACCACCAUCAGAACUCCGAAGAUGACACCUUCAAGAAGGACACGAUGCUAGCUGCGCUGUCGCCGCCCGCCCAAAAAACUUAAGCAAGGUUUUCACCUAGAGUUUCCGAGAACGACGCGAGGAGAGUGACAUGACAACGUCGCUAACAGGAAAUUGCGGUGCCCAAAGCGUCGCCGUUGUCAACCCGGCACACUGAGCAUGACUUUCGUCCAACACCUCCCCCGAGCAGCUGCCACAAACUUCCCCACCCGUCAUGGCUACACCAACACAAACACCUCCCUGCAACCGCCCCGUCACCAACCAGCCGCCUUAGCGCGACCGCCACCGCAUCCUCCCUCGCGCGUAGGCAUCGCCGCGCAGUCACCACCCAACCCGCACGCCGUUGUGGUGCGGUCUCCUCCUCGCCCUGUGCGCCGCCGAGGCCGCACGGCCUCCCUCCUUGUAGAAAUUGCUAUUGCCACAAGACAAACCUUUUGUACAUUCCUUAAGAGAAACUGUGUAACUAUUCUUGUUUUUCGUUCUGUAUAUUUUAAAUCUUAUGCAUCCGAGUCAUCAAAGUGGUCCUUGCUGAGGAGAGAGCUCUAUAUGCAUUCAAGUUUGUGUCCGUGCCUUUGCAUUUCCACUUAUCUUCAAUUUGCAGUGUUGCUGCUUUGCUCCAUCCUCCCUUAUUUAUGCCUGCUUUGGAGCUUUCUCCGCAUUGCUUUUGUCGAAGUGGCGAUGACCACUAUGUGCAGAAUAAACACGUUCGAUAUGAAAAGAAACAAACACUACAGAAUUACAGAUAAUCUAAGUACUGACUCCAGACUUUGGUUCAGACUCCUGUACCGUGUUCAGACUAGCAGAGUUUUAGCUCAGAGAAUUCGUUAAGGUCCAGGUCUCAUGUCUGACUAAUUUCAGUUCUCACCGAAAUUUCUUUUGCCGUGCAGUUGAAGAGGCGCUGGACCACCCGUACCUGGAGCGAUUACACGACAUCGCUGACGAGCCCAUCUGCACGGAUCCGUUCUCGUUCGACUUCGAGCAGCAGGCUCUGACUGAGGACCAAAUGAAGCAGCUAAUUUUCAACGAGGCCAUCGAAAUGAACCCGAAUUUCCGAUAUUAGAUUGGAUCCCCAGAUGUACGGUUCACAUCUAUGCAUGU
rnacentral:lncRNA from 1 species